rnacentral:lncRNA from 1 species
AUGGGUGCUAACAUUCACCACAAGGACCAAAUGGUGCAACACAAGGAACCCAAUGCCAGAACAUCUACUUGUAGAGGUUUCUGGUCAGACAAACCAAGUCUACUUUCAAUUAGGUUGUGUUUAAAAUGUUAUUUAUGAGUUGCAAUAUCUAGUCACCUCUGUCCUGCCCUGGAUGAUUCAAAAGAUGAAGCUUCCUGUCUGGGAGAACAGAACAGCUGUGUUUGUGGUGAUAGUCAUAGAUGUGUGGACUUUGUAAGUGCUCAAACUGAAGGUGUGUGCACUGUAGGUGAGCAGUUGGGCCCAAAGUCACAUCCUCAAGGCUGGAGAUAAGAUCCUUGCCUUCAACAAGUUGCUCCUAUAGUCUCUCAAGGCAUGAGGCACUGUGUUCCUGUCCAGUACUUUUAAGGGAUGAUAGGUGUACCAGUCUUUUUGCAAGGCUCCAGGAAUCACACAUAGACAAUACCAAACCCUAUGACCAUUGCAAGGGCCAGAAGAUCCAAUGUGCCAGAAGUUGAAGAGCCAGUUGAGGCUACAAAAACUAG